CCUACGGGAGGCAGCAGUGGGGGAUAUUGCACAAUGGGCGCAAGCCUGAUGCAGCGACGCCGCGUGAGCGAAGAAGUAUUUCGGUGUGUAAAGCUCUAUCAGCCGGGAAGAAAAUGACGGUACCUGACUAAGAAGCUCCGGCGAAAUACGUGCCAGCAGCCGCGGUAAUACGUAUGGAGCAAGCGUUAUCCGGGUUUACUGGGUGUAAAGGGAGCGUAGGCGGGCCUGUAGGUCUGAUGGGAAAAUUUGGGGCUCAACCCCAAACGUGGAGUUGAAACUGGUGGGCUUGAGUGCGCGAGAGGCAGGCGGAAUGCGUGGUGUAGCGGUGAAAGGCGUAGAUAUCAGGAGGAACCCCAGUGGCGAAGGCAGCAUGCCGGA
rnacentral:rRNA from 1 species